rnacentral:rRNA from 1 species
GUAGGGAAUCUUGCGCAAUGGGCGAAAGCCUGACGCAGCCAUGCCGCGUGAAUGAUGAAGGUCUUAGGAUUGUAAAAUUCUUUCACCGGGGACGAUAAUGACGGUACCCGGAGAAGAAGCCCCGGCUAACUUCGUGCCAGCAGCCGCGGUAAUACGAAGGGGGCUAGCGUUGCUCGGAAUUACUGUGCGUAAAGGGAGCGUAGGCGGAUAGUUUAGUCAGAGGUGAAAGCCCAGGGCUCAACCUUGGAAUUGCCUUUGAUACUGGCUGUCUUGAGUUUGGGAGAGGUGAGUGGAACUCCGAGUGUAGAGGUGAAAUUCGUAGAUAUUCGGAAGAACACCAGUGGCGAAGGCGACUCACUGGCCCAAUACUGACGCUGAGGCGCGAAAGCGUGGGGAGCAAACAGGAUUAGAAACCCGGGUAGUCC